GGCCCACCCUCUUCCCGGAUCAACAGGGUCCAAGAGCAGGAAAGUGGAAUUGAAUACCUGGACUAAGACCAAAGAAUGCCGCAGUGCGAGUUGGGGGGGAUAAAUUCCAGGUUUUGAGCUGUUGCUCUAGUCGGUCUGCGCCUGCAGAUGGCAGCGCUCCUUCAUCGUUGCAGCGAUGUGGAUUGAAAUGCACUGGAGCGUCAAUGGAAGGUGAAUUUAUG
rnacentral:lncRNA from 1 species